GAGAUGUGCCAGUUUAGCUGCAUUACGAACUUGCCUGGACUACGAGCCUCCUGGACAGGUGACCGGACCAUUGAGGUGCUGCUCACUGCUCCUCAGCGGAUUACCCAUUGCUUUCCAGAGAUGCCAGUCACUUUCUCAAGAUCAGCCAUUGGCAGUCAGCUGUCCAGAUACCAGCAACUGAAAAUGCUACUGAUGAAACCAUCAACUUUCCCCCAAAUAGCUUUUUAAACUUGCUAAUUAUAUCAUUAUUAGCUUAACAAUGGAACCUUUCUGCCCUUUGCUCUUAUUUUUUCUUUUACUCCCAGGAUAUUUUUACAUUGUUUCUUUUUUUUUUUUCCUAAUCCCCAUCCUUACUAACUGGAGUUUGAG
rnacentral:lncRNA from 1 species